rnacentral:rRNA from 1 species
CCCUUAGAUGUUCUGGGCCGCACGCGUGCUACACUGAGUGGAUCAGCGGGUCAGGUUGCGCGAAAGCGUUUCCUAAUCUUUAAAUCCGCUCGUGAUGGGGAUUGACGGUUGCAAUUUUCUGUCAUGAACGAGGAAUACCUUGUAAGCGCGGGUCAUCAUCCCGCGCUGAAUACGUCCCUGCCCUUUGUACACACCGCCCGUCGCUCCUACCGAUUGAAUGAUCCGAUGAAUAUCAUGGAUUGAGGAUUAUAGCAGGUUCGCCUGUCUUGAUCUUCGAGAAGUGAAGUAAAUCUUAUCAUUUAGAGGAAGGAGAAGUCGUAACA